GAGGGGUGCAAGCGUUAUUCGGAAUCAUUGGGGCGUAAAGGGGUAUGUAGGCGGCAAGUUAAGUCAACUGUUAAAUAUUCCGGCCUAACCGGAAGCCAGCAGUAGAUACUGGCUAGCUAGAGGAUGGAAGAGAGAAGUGGAAUUCUCGGAGUAGCGGUAAAAUGCGUGGAUCUCGAGAGGAACACCAAUGGCGAAGGCAGCUUCUUGGUCCAUUCCUGACGCUGAGGUACGAAAGCGUGGGGAGCAAACAGGAUUAGAUACCCUGGUAGUCCACGCUGUAAACGAUGAUCACUAGACGUCAGUCCUGUUUUACAGGAUUGGUGUCGCAGCUAACGCGAUAAGUGAUCCGCCUGGGGACUACGAUCGCAAGAUUA
rnacentral:rRNA from 1 species